UACGUAGGGGGCAAGCGUUGUCCGGAAUUAUUGGGCGUAAAGCGCGCGUAGGCGGACCUGCAAGUCGGGGGUGAAAGCCCGAGGCUCAACCUCGGAACUGCCUUCGAUACUGCGGGUCUCGAGUCCGGGAGAGGUGAGUGGAAUUCCUAGUGUAGAGGUGAAAUUCGUAGAUAUUAGGAAGAACACCAGUGGCGAAGGCGGCUCACUGGCCCGGUACUGACGCUGAGGCGCGAAAGCGUGGGGAGCAAACAGG
rnacentral:rRNA from 1 species